rnacentral:rRNA from 1 species
CCAGAAGUAGAUAGCUUAACCUUCGGGGGGGCGUUUACCACGGUAUGAUUCAUGACUGGGGUGAAGUCGUAACAAGGUAACCGUAGGGGAACCUGCGGUUGGAUCACCUCCUUACCUAAAAUGAAGC